UACGGGGGGGGGCAAGCGUUGUUCGGAAUUACUGGGCGUAAAGGGCUCGUAGGUGGCCAACUAAGUCAGACGUGAAAUCCCUCAGCUUAACUGGGGAACUGCGUCUGAUACUGGAUGGCUUGAGUUCGGGAGAGGGAUGCGGAAUUCCAGGUGUAGCGGUGAAAUGCGUAGAUAUCUGGAGGAAUACCGGUGGCGAAGGCGGCAUCCUGGACCGGCAUUGACGCUGAGUGAGCGAAAGCCAGGGGAGCAAACGGG
rnacentral:rRNA from 1 species